AUUUAGUAAAGACAUUUUAUUUCUGAGAACACUGUCUUUCUUCGUUGGAGUAGAUAUACGUAUUGGCUUACAGAAAAAAUUUGGAAGAUGUAGUUUGUGUCAGGGAAGUCUAAUAACGGCAAACUUCUGAAUAGCAGAAAACGAAGAUGUAUAGAGGAAAUGGAUUUUGUAACUGUGUUCCACCGGGGUGAGGGCAGGGACACAGCUUGAUCCUGAAGAUCACAGUGGAAGCCCCUAUGGCCCACGUGGAGCCGGAGGUGCCCCUGGCUGAUAGCAAGGAGGCAGAACAACACACCUUUCUUGUGGUUCUAGUCGGCAUUUCUUAGGCCUUGUCCUCUGUGAAUCCUGUUUCUUCAGUAUGCCGUCCUCAUUCUUCCUGAGGGAUUCCCGAUUUCUGCAAACUGGUGGCUCACAACAAUGGGCUUUAGAUGAAAUUUCAUUAUCGGGUCCUGUGGCAAACCUUACUUGAGAUUCCAGUCUUCUUGGAAUUCCUGUCUGGGAAUCGCGUCUCUUUAGAACGCCACCUGAACACUUUCUUUCUCUUUCACGGGGCUCGCACUCUAGCAGUACAGAUCUGUUCCUGGUGGGGGAGUCGCACCUCGUUGGAGUCCCACACUCACUCUUCAGAUGGCAUCUGCUCUUCUUCAAAGAAUCCCUGCAUACUAGUGGCUUUUUGGGAAGUUUUCUAUCCGUGCAACCUGGGAAUAGAACUGAGUAUACAGCAAAAGUGUGUGAUUCAGUAAUUUGGUUCCCUAAAUCAAGAAAAAGGAUUAUCUAGGCUGCCAAAGUAAACUGUGAGGACUCUUGCUGGGGAGCUCUCGGUAUGGACAGAGACACAAUGACCCCCUGCCUGUCAAACAAAGUCAUUUAGAAGGCAGCAGAAAGGAGGUGUGGAGGUACUCUAUGACGCCAGGCUGAGUUGCAGGCAGCUGGGAGCUGCCUCUUCAUGGGAGCUGAGAACUGACCUCAAGCCUUCUGAAACUGGCUUCCUGUUCAUCCCCUGCCCACAGAGAAGACCACUCUGUCCCACUGAGCUAAGAUCCACAUUCAGCUUGGUGAUGAUGUCAGUCCUCCCUGGGGUGAUACCAGUCCUCCCUGGGUCUAAGGAAAUAAAUUUCCUGCCUUCCCUUACUCUUCUGCAAGUCACUUUAAAACCCCAUUCUCCUAAUGAUAGUGAUCACAAUUAUCAUCACGUCUUGACAGCAUGUUUUGUCAGCCCUAGA
rnacentral:lncRNA from 1 species